AGACUUGGGAUAACUUCGGGAAACCGGAGCUAAUACCGGAUAAUAUUUUGAACCGCAUGGUUCAAAAGUGAAAGACGGUCUUGCUGUCACUUAUAGAUGGAUUCGCGCUGCAUUAGCUAGUUGGUAAGGUAACGGCUUACCAAGGCAACGAUGCAUAGCCGACCUGAGAGGGUGAUCGGCCACACUGGAACUGAGACACGGUCCAG
rnacentral:rRNA from 1 species